rnacentral:rRNA from 1 species
UACGUAGGUGGCAAGCGUUAUCCGGAAUUAUUGGGCGUAAAGCGCGCGCAGGCGGUUUCUUAAGUCUGAUGUGAAAGCCCACGGCUCAACCGUGGAGGGUCAUUGGAAACUGGGAAACUUGAGUGCAGAAGAGAAGAGUGGAAUUCCACGUGUAGCGGUGAAAUGCGUAGAGAUGUGGAGGAACACCAGUGGCGAAGGCGACUCUUUGGUCUGUAACUGACGCUGAGGCGCGAAAGCGUGGGGAGCAAACAGG